GCGUGAGUGAAGAAGGCCUUAGGGUUGUAAAGCUCUUUCACCUGUGACGAUGAUGACGGUAGCAGGAGAAGAAGCCCCGGCUAACUCCGUGCCAGCAGCCGCGGUAAUACGGAGGGGGCAAGCGUUGUUCGGAAUUACUGGGCGUAAAGGGCGUGUAGGCGGAUGAUCAAGUCAGGGGUGAAAGCCCUGGGCUCAACCUAGGAGGUGCCUUUGAAACUGAUCGUCUGGAGUCCGGGAGAGGAUGGCGGAAUUCCCAGUGUAGAGGUGAAAUUCGU
rnacentral:rRNA from 1 species